rnacentral:lncRNA from 1 species
GCCUGGAGCGUGGAUUCAGGGGCCCUAUCCAUUACACAAGCUGGAUUAUGCAGCUUUGCUGUGUGUUUUGUGUCUGGCAUCUUUCACGUGGUGCAGGGCCUUGCGGGCUCACCCAUGUUGCCGGAAGUGUCAGUACUUCAUUCCUUUGUGCUGAGCUGUGGACCUGCCUGAUGUUGCAUUGUUUGUCUGCUCCUCAGUGGUGUAUUUCAUCAUGUGAACAGCAUCACAGCUCACCAAGGAAGACUGGGACAGGGAGUGGAUGUGGAUGAAUUGCUGUAGCCUCAGAGCUGACAGACUGC